CACGUAGGGUGCGAGCGUUGUCCGGAAUUAUUGGGCGUAAAGAGCUCGUAGGCGGUGUGUCGCGUCGGCCGUGAAAACCUGCAGCUUAACUGUGGGCUUGCGGUCGAUACGGGCAUCACUGGAGUUCGGCAAGGGAAACUGGAAUUCCUGGUGUAGCGGUGAAAUGCGCAGAUAUCAGGAGGAACACCGGUGGCGAAGGCGGGUCUCUGGGCCGAUACUGACGCUGAGGAGCGAAAGCGUGGGGAGCGAACAGG
rnacentral:rRNA from 1 species